rnacentral:misc_RNA from 1 species
AGCUAAAAGAUAUAUUAUAUGAUAUAUUAUGUAUUAAAAACUAACUUUAAAGCUUAAAUGGUAAUUUAGGUAUGACUUUUCAUGGAAAUAAUUGUGUAAAAUUGUUUCAAGAGCUGAAACCUAAAUUGAAACCAAAAAAACAAGAACCAAACCAAAACAGAAACAUUGAAGAAUCGAAGUGGAAUCAUACCGAAAUUUCAAUUCAAUUCCACUUCCUAGGUAGAUAUCGAACCGGAACCAAAAACUGCACACCCUUAAUUGGAAGUUGAUAGUGAUUCACUUCUAAAGCCAUUAGACCAAUAUCUCUUCAAAAGGCUUCCAAGAGAGUGUGAAAGCCCUUGUCCUAAAGUUUCAAGAGUAUGUUAGGAAACUAGUGGUUGAACUCCUGGAAUGGAUAAUCUGUGAACAUCCCUAAAGUUUGCAUAGAUAUAUUGCUGAAAUAUGGUAUUUGGUCAGAUCAUCUGCACUAAUUUUUUAACAAAGACACGUCACAUGAUAAACCAGUCAUGCCACUUGGUUCUACACACUGUCACCUCAUAAAUUGACACAAGCUGCAUUGCUGACUUAUUUCCAUACUGCCGAUGGGAUGGGAAUCAUAGGAUAAGAAUUUAUCACUAGAAAUAACCACUAUGCUUUAGGCAACAGGACAUAUAAAGCAUUCACUCUGCUAACUGAGUUAAAAUCUUCAUGCUAAUCAACAAUAACCAUUAUUCAUUGAUAGGAAAGGAAAAAAAGGAAACUUCAAGGAUACCUCUUUCUUCUUUCCAAAAAUCCAGAAGAUGAGACUAAAAAGCUUCUACAUUUAGAGCACUAAGAUCCUCUAACAAAUAACAGAAAAAGAAAAUUCAUAAAGAUCUUCCAUGCUUGCUCAUUUAGCAUUCCCUUGCAAAUUAGUGCAAAAACAAAACCUCACAUCCCACCCCUCUCCCCCCAACCCAAUCAUACACAACAGAGACACAAAGGAGUAGGGGGAGAGAGAGAG